GACGAACGCUGGCGGCGUGCUUAACACAUGCAAGUCGAACGAUGAAGCCGGAGCUUGCUCUGGUGAAUUAGUGGCGAACGGGUGAGUAACACGUGAGUAACCUGCCCUUGACUCUGGGAGAACUGCGGGAAACUGUAGCUAAUACCGGAUACGACACCUCUCCGCAUGGCGGGGUGGGGAAAGUUCUUUCGGUCCAGGAUGUGCUCGCGGCCUAUCAGCUUGUUGGUGAGGUAAUGGCUACCCAAGGCUUUGACGGGUAGCCGGCCUGAGAGGGUGACCGGUAACACUGGGACUGAGACACGGCCCAGAUUCCGACGGGAGGCAGCCGUGGGGAAUAUUGGACAAUGGGCGGAAGCCUGAUCCAGCAACGCCGCGUGAGGGAUGACGGCCUUCGGGUUGUAAACCUCUUUCAGUACCGACGAAGCGAAAGUGACGGUAGGUACAGAAGAAGGACCGGCCAACUACGUGCCAGCCGCCGCGGUAA
rnacentral:rRNA from 1 species